UGUCUAUAAUGAACUUCAUUGCUGCUUUUUAAAAAUUUUUCCUUUUGAUAAGAAAUUAAAGACUGAUUUCCUCUCUACAAAAGAAAAUGCCACUUUAUUCCCCAUACACACCCUCUCUCUUAGUAAAACAACUCUGAUUUUUAUAGCUGGGCAUCUUGCCACCCAGUUAAAGAUGUAUUCCCUUGCAGCUAAAUAAGGCCAAGUGACUAUGCUCUUGCCAAUAAUAUGUAAACUGAAGUGUAGCAAGGUACUUUUGGGAAGUCUCUUUAAAAAGCAUCAUUUCUUUUGUAUUUGUCCCUUCAUCUUCCUGCUACUCAAGAUGUGCAUAUAAUGGCAGGCACUUCUGUAGGCAUUUUGGAUCAUGAAAUGUCUUUGAUGGAAACUAAGAAAAGUAGAGAAACAGAAUUGAAGGUUUCACAAUUCUAAAACCUUUGUAAAAGUUUUGUAAAAGGUUUUACAAUUGAAGGUAAUUAAUAUUACACUAUUAAUUAUAGUAAAGGUCAUGCUUCUGUGGAAAAAAAAAAGAGUCCCUUGACAUGAUGGUUCAAACAAGUUAGGAAAGGCAGACUGUGCUUCUCAAAAUCAGCCAGAGAAUCAGACUGGCUGAGCACACUGCCAUCCUCAAUGCAUGGCUUCUAGAUUGCUUUAGCCUUUAUCAUUUGAAGCCAAUAGGAAGCAAGGAGAACAUCAAAGCACAUAAUUAAUGACCGAAAGCAUCCAUCACUUCUGCUCAAAUCAUUUUGGGAAUGUCAUAGUCUUCUUGAUCACACUUGAAUGCUGGGGAAGCUAAGCAGUGUAGUACAACUGGACAAUCAGUUCCUGUGUCCAAGAACUUUUUAAAGACAGUAGGGUAGAAUGCUUACUUGUAAUCAAAAAGCAGUCUCCACCAAAACUGUAGGUCUUCAUAUUCUAUCCAGAUGGUAAAAAGUUAACUUUUCUCUUGUUUAGCUUACUACACGCCGGGCCUUUAUUAUUUAUAGUUGAACAUCAUCUUCAUUGAUAUACCCCUUUUAUGUUUUUUCAAUGAACCUCAUCUGUAAAUCAUUAACUGGAUUAUUAGAUAAGUGCUAAAUAAUCCCCAGCUGUAAAAUUCUAAGAAUAAUUAAAACUUCCUUUCUUAACAUUCUUAGUGAACAACUUACAGGUUAAAAAACAAACCCAAAGAGAUUAUUUCCUGCAAAGAGCCUUUAGUAUGGUAGCACCUACUUCUAGAAGGCCUGUCAUAAACUGUCAUCUAGUGAAAGUGAUGAAGAAGAGUGGCUGGGAGUCAAUCUUAUCAGGAGCUGGAACAGGUGAAGCCCUCACCAGUGAAAAAUCUUGACAGAUGCAGCUACUAAGAUUUCCUACUACAAAGAAUAACAGCAGUUAGAAAAGCAGACUCCCUGUGGUGGCGACCAGUAUCUUCAAACUCAUACCAGAGUAAAGCCUUAUCCAUUUGGAGUUCUUUCUGAUGCAUUAUGUGAGAAAAACAAGCAAACAAAUGAACACUUAUUUGUAUUUGAAUUGCACUAAAUUUAUACAUGAAACUGAAAAAAACUGAUAUCUUUAUGAAGCUGCAUAAUCCUAUCCAAGGACAGACGUCUCCUUCCAUUUGCUUUUGCUUUACUAAUUUGAAUCUAUGUUAUUUGUUUUGGAUACAUCUGGAAUUGACUUUUUUGCAUGGUGUAAGAGCCAGCUCUUCUUCAGGAUAAGCAUGCCUGGUUUCUUCAACUUAUUCCACAAGAGUGAACAAGUAAGGUCUCCCCUGGACUAUUGUGUCUUCUACCUGAAAGUCAAGACUUCUUGCUGUCUUCUCUCCAUUCCAACCUCCAUGGGAAGAAGAGAUAAUAACAUUUUCUGGCUGUAUAAAAAAAAAGUACCAGGAAUUUUUUGUUGAUUGCAGAAAUAACAGUUCUUCCUGGAUCAGCCCUCUCCCGUCUGUCAUCUCCAACAGAUACAAAGCCAGCUUUAAGAAGACCAAACCUACAAAAAUCAUUCAUGCUUUCUGCCUCCAUGUUUUUCUUUCCAACCUAGUUCCUCCAGAAAAUGUAAAAGAGCAACCGAACCGUCAACUGGUACAAUGACUUCUACACAUCAGACCUCGGCCACGCCACAGUCAUCAGAUUAUUCUAUCACAGGGUCUCUCAACCGUGGAAUAUGGUCUCCAAGGGAAACAAGCCACAGAGGGCUCAGGAGCAUUGCUAUAAAGAGUAGGCAAAUGGAAAUCUUUCCCCAAAGGGCACACUGGGAUUGUUAGGCGAGGGCUGCUCAAUCCAUUAAAAGUUUAAACUCGAAAAAAAAAAAGAAAAAAAAAACCUUUUGAAAAAA
rnacentral:lncRNA from 1 species